rnacentral:tRNA from 1 species
UAGAGGGUAGUAUAAAUGGAAGUACUAGAAAUUUUGAGUUUUUAAGUAUGGGUUCGAGUCCUUUCUCUCUAA